GAUGAACGCUAGCUACAGGCUUAACACAUGCAAGUCGAGGGGAAACGGCAUUUAGUGCUUGCACCGAAUGGACGUCGACCGGCGCACGGGUGAGUAACGCGUAUCCAACCUACCCAUUACUGUGGGAUAACCUGCCGAAAGGCAGACUAAUACCGCAUAGUCUUCGAUGACGGCAUCAGAUUUGAAGUAAAGAUUUAUCGGUAAUGGAUGGGGAUGCGUCUGAUUAGCUUGUUGGCGGGGUAACGGCCCACCAAGGCGACGAUCAGUAGGGGUUCUGAGAGGAAGGUCCCCCACAUUGGAACUGAGACACGGUCCAAACUCCUACGGGAGGCAGCAGUGAGGAAUAUUGGUCAAUGGACGAGAGUCUGAACCAGCCAAGUAGCGUGCAGGAUGACGGCCCUAUGGGUUGUAAACUGCUUUUGUAUGGGGAUAAAGUCAAUCACGUGUGAUUGUUUGCAGGUACCAUACGAAUAAGGACCGGCUAAUUCCGUGCCAGCAGCCGCGGUAAUACGGAAGGUCCGGGCGUUAUCCGGAUUUAUUGGGUUUAAAGGGAGCGUAGGCCGGAGAUUAAGUGUGUUGUGAAAUGUAGACGCUCAACGUCUGACUUGCAGCGCAUACUGGUUUCCUUGAGUACGCACAACGUUGGCGGAAUUCGUCGUGUAGCGGUGAAAUGCUUAGAUAUGACGAAGAACUCCGAUUGCGAAGGCAGCUGACGGGAGCGCAACUGACGCUUAAGCUCGAAGGUGCGGGUAUCGAACAGG
rnacentral:rRNA from 1 species